rnacentral:rRNA from 1 species
AGAGUUUGAUCCUGGCUCAGGACGAACGCUGGCGGCGUGCCUAAUACAUGCAAGUAGAACGCUGAAGAGAGGAGCUUGCUCUUCUUGGAUGAGUUGCGAACGGGUGAGUAACGCGUAGGUAACCUGCCUUGUAGCGGGGGAUAACUAUUGGAAACGAUAGCUAAUACCGCAUAACAAUGGRUGACACAUGUCAUUUAUUUGAAAGGGGCAAUUGCUCCACUACAAGAUGGACCUGCGUUGUAUUAGCUAGUAGGUGAGGUAACGGCUCACCUAGGCGACGAUACAUAGCCGACCUGAGAGGGUGAUCGGCCACACUGGGACUGAGACACGGCCCAGACUCCUACGGGAGGCAGCAGUAGGGAAUCUUCGGCAAUGGGGGCAACCCUGACCGAGCAACGCCGCGUGAGUGAAGAAGGUUUUCGGAUCGUAAAGCUCUGUUGUAAGUCAAGAACGAGUGUGAGAGUGGAAAGUUCACACUGUGACGGUAGCUUACCAGAAAGGGACGGCUAACUACGUGCCAGCAGCCGCGGUAAU